UGUUGCCUGGACGGGGAGCCCAGCCACAGCACCGCCUGCGUAGGGCCACGGAAUAGAACACGGGAAAUUUAUUAGCCAAUCACGUUUCUUUCUCCUUAUUCCAGCCUAGCCACGCCCUCUGGCCCCUCACCCGCUCACGGCUCCGGGGCACAGCUCUGUCCGGAACCAGUGUUCAGGGGACACGGCUCUAGCGGGCACAAACGCCCGCUGCACCCGGAAGUAGCCUCGCCGCCGCCGCCACCAGUGGAGCGCAAGGAAACGUUCGGCGCAGGUACGUCCAGUAACGUCCUCUCCGCCUCGCCGCUCCCUAGCGGAGGCAGAGGAGGCGGUGCUGAGACGCUACAGGGGCUGGAAUGUGACCUGCCGAUUUGCUCCUCAUGAGCGAGUUGGGAGGGUGUGGGCGUGGUUCCGCUGAGCCUGCGACUGCCACUGUAGCGUUGGGGAGUCGGGCGGAGGUUUUGAAGCUUUUCAGAGCAUUGCACAGAACACGGCAACAGGUUUUUAAAAAUGAUGCCAGAGCCCUAGAAGCUGCAAGACAAAAGAUAAAUGAAGAAUUCAGAAACCAUCAAGAUGAGACCUCUUCUGAAAGAAUAGCAGAGCUUAUGAAAAUAGGUUCAGAUGUUGAAGUUCUACUCAGAACAUCUGUUAUACAGGGACUUCACACAGGUUCUGACAGUCUGAGUUCUCCUAAGUAAAAGAAUGGAAUUGUUAUAAAGGAGAUGGAUCAAAGGGGUCAUUCUAGAAGUUCAGAAUGUAAUGAAUAGUAAUAAAGUGCUUAUACCCAGGAAAGAUCUGCUACUAGACAAUGUUCCUUACUGUGAUACACCAACACGAAAGCUUUGAAACUUCAAGGACUAAAGUACAUCUUUUUUUUUUUUUUCUUUUUUCUCAAAACAAAAUUAAUUUCCUGGAACAAAAUCCCUGAAAACAAGUAGCUGAAAUUUCUGUGUUCAGACUAAACUUAGAAAAUAUCGAAUCCUUUUGGCAGGAAACAAAGAUUAACUCAAUCCACUGAUUUGUACUCUGAACUGGGAAGGUGAAUUUGAGAGAAUCAAGAUUGAUGUUCUGUGUUUCAGAAGGACCCUUCUCUUCAUUUGGAAGGAUUACAUUUCCAUAGAAACUAAAGUCCCAUAUUGUUUUCUAAAAAUAUUCUAAGUGUACUCUUUUUAUCUCUGCCAGCAGUGGGUAUUGUCAAGUCUGAAAAAAAGACUCCAGAGAAAAUGUUUAAUUGUGUUUCGGAGGUUUUGCAAAGUUAAAUAAUAAUAAUAAUUACAAAUAGAAGUAGAGUGUUCAGUCCUGAAAAUAUUUAUUUAUAAAUUCAAAUAUAUUGACAAACUGAUAAAAAAUAAUGGUGAAAAAACAUACUAUGCUGUCUAGUUAUCUUUUUAAGUAUAAAUUGCACCACAGAUCUGUUUUCUGAAAUUGUCAUUAGCUGUGCGAUAGUGCACUGGUAGCAAAUGAGGGUUCUUAAAGGCAUAUCUAAAUAAAUUAUCAGCCUUCACAGAUA